rnacentral:rRNA from 1 species
AUUGAACGCUGGCGGCAUGCCUUACACAUGCAAGUCGAACGGCAGCACGGACUUCGGUCUGGUGGCGAGUGGCGAACGGGUGAGUAAUACAUCGGAACGUGCCUGGUAGUGGGGGAUAACUACUCGAAAGAGUGGCUAAUACCGCAUGAGAUCUACGGAUGAAAGCAGGGGAUCGCAAGACCUUGUGCUACUAGAGCGGCCGAUGGCAGAUUAGGUAGUUGGUGGGAUAAAAGCUUACCAAGCCAACGAUCUGUAGCUGGUCUGAGAGGACGAUCAGCCACACUGGGACUGAGACACGGCCCAGACUCCUACGGGAGGCAGCAGUGGGGAAUUUUGGACAAUGGGCGAAAGCCUGAUCCAGCAAUGCCGCGUGCAGGAUGAAGGCCUUCGGGUUGUAAACUGCUUUUGUACGGAACGAAAAGCUUCGGGUUAAUACCCUGGAGUCAUGACGGUACCGUAAGAAUAAGCACCGGCUAACUACGUGCCAGCAGCCGCGGUAAUACGUAGGGUGCAAGCGUUAAUCGGAAUUACUGGGCGUAAAGCGUGCGCAGGCGGUUUUGUAAGACAGAGGUGAAAUCCCCGGGCUCAACCUGGGAACUGCCUCUGUGACUGCAAGGCUAGAGUACGGCAGAGGGGGAUGGAAUUCCGCGUGUAGCAGUGAAAUGCGUAGAUAUGCGGA